AUUUUAGAUUGAUAACAUAUCUCAACCAACGGGAAGAAAACAAGGACAGAUGGGUCGGUGCACUUUUGGAAACGAAACUUCCAGUUCACAUGAUUUAUGGGCCAUCUGAUCCAGUUAACAGUGGAUACGCCUUCGUUGAUCAUUACAAGAAAGUAGUACCAUCCCCAAGUAUAACUGUACUAGACGCGGCGAUAGGACACUAUCCCCAGUGGGAGGAUCCCAAUGGCGUCUUCGAAUCCUACAAGUUCUUCUUGCAGUCCAUCAAAAAUCCUUAAAUUAUCACCCCAGGGUUAUCAAAAACCUUUAAUCAUUCCACCAGUGCAUAAAAUAAAAUUAUUUCCACCAGUCCAUAAAAAGCCUUGAACUCUUUCCCCAGGUAAUAAAAAUGAUCUUGAACUUUCUUCUCCAGUCCAUUGAAAAGUCUUUUAAUAUUCCUCAUAUAUUCAAUCGAUCAAUCAUAAUGUCCAUGGCCUUGGAAUACUCGAAAUAUUUGAACGACGUGAAUACAUUUUAAAUUUUCAUAAAAAUGAAAAACAAUCAACUAUUUAAAAAAAGGCUUUGAAAUAUUUUAAAACUUAAUAAUUCGAGCAAAAGAAAGCCACCUUCGUAUUAUCAAUAUUUCCAAUCUCCUUUGAAACAUAUUACUUUACCCAUAUCUAUUAAAUUCUUGCAUAAAUUCAUGAAAAGUCCUUAAAGGACAAAAGCCAGUAAAGGUUUUGAACUACUUUUGCCUUUAUUCUGGUGAUUUUUUUUCCCAUAAAAAGAAAUGAAAGUUUUAUAAAGUUUACUGCUUAAUAAUUUGUAUGUGAGAGUUAAUGUCUGUUAUGAUUUCCUUAACAAUAACCUAUAUUGUUUUGUUGUUUAACGGUGUCUUUUAAUUUUAAAUGAGUAUGCUUGUAUGCCGUGUGAUUGAUAGUGUUUACAAUAUCACUUCUGUUUGUUAGAUGUUGUUUAAUUUGUGGUAUUCUAGCGCUGAAUACCGUUGUGUAAAUCUUGUAUGCGCAUUUGUUUUUUUGAACAAAUAGCCUGUUUACCAUGACAGAUAAAUACAUGCAUGACCAUUAUGUGCUUAAAUAUCGACGAGUAUUUAGCCUUUACACUUUUGUUUGACCAUGAUUCAUCGUAACCUUAAAGGGACUUGACACCAGAUGGUCCAAAAUUCGUCAAAUACAGUAUUUCCUCAAGACAAGCCUAAAGUUGUUAAUACGAGCUGGUAUGAGGCCUAUAAUUCAUUAUGUUUAGGGCUGCAAACAAAUAUUUAAAUAUUCGAAUAUUCGAUUAAACGUUUGGUAUUCGAAUGUCAAAAUAGGAAUUCGAAAAUGUCGAUUUGUUUUUGUUUUUGAAUAAACAGAAUAAUGAACCCUUUUGCCUACAACUCUGUGUUGUGUAUAAAGUGCGUUUUUCUUGUUAUUACAACGAUUGACCCGUAAUGACAGACGUGUAUAUCACACUACUGACAAUACACUCAACACGCGUCAUAAUCAUUUAGGGACAUAUCUUCAGGAACUAGAAAAAGUCUCCGUGAUAUGACAAUAAUAUAACUGGCUUUUAGACAAGUGACAUCAGCAAUUUCAAUUUGUUUCGGUAAACUGUAUAGUAUAGCGUUUUAUGAUUUUCUCUAUUGAUGCACACUAGAAGAGUCAAAAUCCGGAUAUAUUUUCUUUUUAUUUUUGACCUUUUUCCGAAGUUGGUUUGGUUUUUCCAUAGCUAUAUUCAGUAGAGGUCUAUCCAAGAACUAGGCUUUCGUCCUACCAAAAGACCCCCCAUUAGCGCAUAACGCCAUUUCUGUAUCUGUUCAAAUACGUAGAAGGGCCACUUCUGGCAUAUCUGUACGGCUAUUUGACCAGGGAUCCAUCUAAUUUCAUUUGUUUUCAAAUAUAAAGGCAGUGGAAUGAGGCCUAUAAUUCAUUAUUUUUCAUUACUAAAAUAGCGCAUUCAGAUUUCCCAGUUCAUAGUGUAUACAUUUAGCCCGUGAAUUUCCCGUGAUUAUAAUAGGUACAUAAACCGACGGGAUUUUUAAAUUCACUGUGAUUUAUGUGGUAGACAAACCCAGUGAAUUUCGCAUUGGAAAAAAAUGCAAACACUGCGAAAGACACGUUGGCAUGUGUCGUUGGCGAUGUGAUACAUCAUUAAGAAAGAUGCAAUGCGUUGUACACAGCGAUAUCGGUUUUAUGUAAGUUUUUGACAAAUUUCUUUUUUUCAUGCGAUGGUAUUAUCUGGUGUCUAGUCCCUUUAGUCUACCUGUAUAUGUAUUUCUUAAUGUCCUACCUUAAACAUUUGCCUGAUGCAUUUGUAAUAAACUUUAAACUGUA